GCUCAAAGAACGGCGCGGAUUACAUCGCCUUGAACGAGGACCUGCGCUCCUGGACCGCGGCGGACACGGCGGCGCAGAUCACCCGCCGGAAGUGGGAGGUGGCCGGUGCGGCGGAGCACCCAGGAACUACCCGGACGGAGAGUGGAUGGAGCGGCAACGCAGACCCUCCAAAGUCACAUGUAACCCACCACCCCAUCUCUGACAGUGAUGUCACCCUGAGGUGCUGGGCCCUGGGCUUCUACCCUGGCAGUGUGAUGUGGAGGACCUGACCCAGGACUCAGAGCUUCUGGAUACAGGUCUGCAGGGGACGGCACCUUCCAGAAGUGGGCAGCUGUGGUGGUGCCCCCUGGACAGGAGCAGAGAUACAUGUGCUUGUGUGGCACGAGGGGCUGCAGGAGUCCAUCACCCUGAGAGAGAGCCUCCUCCUCAGUCCACCAUCCCCAUCAUGGACAUCAUUGCUGGUCUGGUUCCCCUGUGGUCACUGUACUGGCUGGAGCUGUAAUCUGGAGUAAGAAGCAGUAAAACACAUGUGAAAAUGAAGGAUAAAUUUUUCACCUUGAUGAAUCUGGUGAUGGGGACCCGAUUUGCAGAAGUCACAGGACAGAGACGAAAGCCCCUGCUGAGGACAGACUAUAGGAGGGUGGUUUGUCCAAUCCUCACACAGGUGGAAAAGGAGGGGGCUACACUCAGUCUGCAAUUUGAGCCAGCCUUGUAGGGGACUGAGUGACACAAGAUUUGUUUACUUUCCCACCUGUGACAUCAGUGUCCCUGACUUCUUUUUCUGCAAAGGGCAUCUGAAUGUCUGUGUUCCUAUUAGCAUAAUGAGACGAAGCAGGGAGACAGGUCCAUCCUACCCACCACGACCCUUCCCCACACUGCCCUGUGUUCUCUUCCCCAACUUGCCUUUCUGUGCCAGCAGAGAUGAGACUGGUCCAUCUCCCUCCUGUGUAUAUAUACUAUGGCUUCUUUAUCCAUUUAUCUGUUGAAGGAUACUUGGCCUGCUUCCAUACCCUUGCUAUUGUAAAU